ensembl:ncRNA lncRNA:CR45402 long non-coding RNA:CR45402
AACUCAGUCGUCUUCGGUCAGCGGCCGCUGCACUUGAACAUGAAACAGCCGCAAAAAGCUUAAAAGCUAAACCAAAACCAAAUCCAAAUACGAAUCAAAAAACCAAACCCAAUAUAAAAGCAAAGUUCUGUGUAUGUCAAUUUCCAAGCCGUGAUACGUUGUCACCUGAUUGGUACGGGUCGCACUUGCUACAAGCGACUCUGGCUAUGCGAAAGGUAAGUGGGUAUCUAGUAUUCAUAGGCGGAAAGGACAGAGGUGAGCGACAGAACAACAAAGCACAUGGCAUCGCCCACUCGCGCCCACAAAGAAAGGUCGUAUGUUGUCUGCAUUGGGGCCGCUGUUUUGCGCUUAUGCUAUUGCUCUUCCUAGCGCUGAACUUGAACAAUAGCGUCGCACCACGCAAUACCGUGCAC